GAGCUUGCUCUGGUUGAUCAGUGGCGAACGGGUGAGUAACACGUGAGUAACCUGCCCUUGACUCUGGGAUAACUCCGGGAAACCGGGGCUAAUACCGGAUACGAGACGCGACCGCAUGGUCGGCGUCUGGAAAGUUUUUCGGUCAAGGAUGGACUCGCGGCCUAUCAGCUUGUUGGUGAGGUAAUGGCUCACCAAGGCGUCGACGGGUAGCCGGCCUGAGAGGGCGACCGGCCACACUGGGACUGAGACACGGCCCAGACUCCUACGGGAGGCAGCAGUGGGGAAUAUUGCACAAUGGGCGAAAGCCUGAUGCAGCGACGCCGCGUGAGGGAUGAAGGCCUUCGGGUUGUAAACCUCUUUCAGUAGGGAAGAAGCGAAAGUGACGGUACCUGCAGAAGAAGCGCCGGCUAACUACGUGCCAGCAGCCGCGGUAAUACGUAGGGCGCAAGCGUUGUCCGGAAUUAUUGGGCGUAAAGAGCUCGUAGGCGGUUUGUCGCGUCUGGUGUGAAAACUCAAGGCUCAACCUUGAGCUUGCAUCGGGUACGGGCAGACUAGAGUGUGGUAGGGGUGACUGGAAUUCCUGGUGUAGCGGUGGAAUGCGCAGAUAUCAGGAGGAACACCGAUGGCGAAGGCAGGUCACUGGGCCACUACUGACGCUGAGGAGCGAAAGCAUGGGGAGCGAACAGGAUUAGAUACCCUGGUAGUCCAUGCCGUAAACGUUGGGCACUAGGUGUGGGGCUCAUUCCACGAGUUCCGCGCCGCAGCUAACGCAUUAAGUGCCCCGCCUGGGGAGUACGGCCGCAAGGCUAAAACUCAAAGGAAUUGACGGGGGCCCGCACAAGCGGC
rnacentral:rRNA from 1 species